ACUUAAAUAAUUUAAAUAAAAUAUUGAUUUGUGGAGUCAAAAAUAUGAGAUAAUCCUUUUAGGUU
rnacentral:tRNA from 1 species